UAGGAAAAAUAUGUAAGUUUAUUGCAAAAGAUAAUAUCCCAUUUAAAACAGUUUAGAAAUUUACAAAACCUUACAUUAGUACAGUCUUUAAGAAGGUGCUCUGUAGAUGAGCUGGUAUUAAGUUCCAAGUAUAGUGAGUACACAUGUUCUUAACUACAGAGAAAGCAGCUACAUAAACUCCUGCAACUUAAGCUGAUGUAUCAGUCUUUUUCCUUUCAAUUUUAUAAAAGUAACUUUUGCUAAAUUAAUAUCUCUCCAUGAAACCAGACAACCUCAAGUACAGCAUUUCUGUAGGAGAUCGUGGUAGAGGUUACAUAAUAUUUUACAAAGAAGCAAUUUUCACAUUGAGUAUAUGAGUACAGAGUUUUGGUAUACACAUACUUUUUUUUUUUUAACACAGAAAUGAUCACUUUUGUUUAGCAGGAAGGUUUUACUGAAUUGUUUCCCCCAUAACAAUUUUAAAUGUUCAGAAGAGACCGAGUGUCCAGGUUCAGGUUGGUGGCCUGAGCAAUGGUGUGUUGUGCUUUGGUAUAGAAUCAUCGCAGCCUCACUUGAUUUUUCUCUCUAGAAAGUUCAACUUGUUCUGACCGCAAUAUCAUCUAACUCAAAUGAGGGUUUAUGUGAGGCUCCAACUCAACAUAUGUGUACGACAGCAUACCCUUGUUAGUUAUCUAAAU
rnacentral:lncRNA from 1 species